ACUUCGGCGAGUCUGACGGAGCAUACCGCGUGAGGGAUGACAGCCUUUGGGUUGUAAACCUCUUUUUUCAGGGAGGAAGUUCUGACGUGUACCUGAAGAAUAAGCAUCGGCUAACUCCGUGCCAGCAGCCGCGGUAAGACGGAGGAUGCAAGUGUUAUCCGGAAUUAUUGGGCGUAAAGCGUCUGUAGGUGGCUUAUUAAGUCUACUGUUAAAUAUUAAAGCUCAACUUUAAACUUGCAGUGGAAACUGAUAAGCUUGAGUACGGUCGAAGUAAAAGGAAUUUCCAGUGAAGCGGUGAAAUGCGUAGAUAUUGGAAGGAACACCGAUGGCGAAGGCAUUUUACUAGGCCCUUACUGACACUGAGAGACGAAAGCUAGGGUAGCAAAUGGGAUUAGAUACCCCCGGUAGUCAA
rnacentral:rRNA from 1 species